rnacentral:rRNA from 1 species
CUACGGGGGGCUCCAGUGGGGAAUCUUAGACAAUGGGCGCAAGCCUGAUCUAGCCAUGCCGCGUGAGUGAUGAAGGCCUUAGGGUCGUAAAGCUCUUUCGCUGGGGAAGAUAAUGACGGUACCCAGUAAAGAAACCCCGGCUAACUCCGUGCCAGCAGCCGCGGUAAUACGGAGGGGGUUAGCGUUGUUCGGAAUUACUGGGCGUAAAGCGCGCGUAGGCGGACUGUUAAGUCGGGGGUGAAAUCCCGGGGCUCAACCCCGGAACGGCCUUCGAUACUGGCAGUCUGGAGUUCGGGAGAGGUGAGUGGAAUUCCGAGUGUAGAGGUGAAAUUCGUAGAUAUUCGGAGGAACACCAGUGGCGAAGGCGGCUCACUGGCUCGAUACUGACGCUGAGGUGCGAAAGUGUGGGGAGCAAACAGGAUUAGAUACCCGCGUAGUC